rnacentral:misc_RNA from 1 species
AACGCACCUUGCGCUCCUUGGUAUUCCGAGGAGCAUGCCUGUUUGAGUGUCAUUAAUUUCUCAACCUUACUAGCUUUAUUGCCAGUCUGGCUUGGACUUGGGGGUUUUUUGCCGGCUUCUAACAUAACUGAGGUCAGCUCCCCUUAAAUGCAUUAGCUGGUGCCCCGUCGUGGACAUUCGUCUAUUGGUGUGAUAAUUAUCUACGCCGUGGAUGGUCUGCGUUUACUGCGCUGCUUACAAUCGUCCCUUUGGACAAAUCUAAUGACUAUUUUGACCUCAAAUCAGGUAGGACUACCCGCUGAACUUAA